CAGUCGCCGCGGGAACACAGAGGGUGCGAGCGUUAAUCGGAUUUACUGGGCGUAAAGCGUGCGUAGGCGGCUUCUUAAGUCGGAUGUGAAAUCCCUGAGCUUAACUUAGGAAUUGCAUUCGAUACUGGGAAGCUAGAGUAUGGGAGAGGAUGGUAGAAUUCCAGGUGUAGCGGUGAAAUGCGUAGAGAUCUGGAGGAAUACCGAUGGCGAAGGCAGCCAUCUGGCCUAAUACUGACGCUGAGGUACGAAAGCAUGGGGAGCAAACAGGAUUAGAUACCCCAGUAGUCCCUGUCUCUUAUAC
rnacentral:rRNA from 1 species